rnacentral:rRNA from 1 species
GAUGAACGCUAGCUACAGGCUUAACACAUGCAAGUCGAGGGACCGGCGCACGGGUGAGUAACACGUAUCCAACCUGCCCUUUACUCGGGGAUAGCCUCUCGAAAGAAAGAUUAAUACCCGAUAUAAAGGCUGGGGAUGCGUUCCUUUAGGUUGUUGGUGAGGUAACGGCCCACCAAGCCUUCGAUGGAUAGGGGUUCUGAGAGGAAGGUCCCCCGCAUUGGAACGGAGACACGGACCAAACUCCUACGGGAGGCAGCAGUGAGGGAUAUUGGUCAAUGGGCGUUAGCCUGAACCAGCCAAGUAGCGUGAAGGAUGAAGGCUUAUGGGUCGUAAACUUCUUUUAUAAAAGAAUAUGUAUUAUAUGAAUAAGGAUCGGCUAACUCCGUGCCAGCCGCCGCGGUAAUUC